UGAUCAUAAUACCAGUGCGAGUCAAUGAUGUAACAUGGUGUGUUGGAUCAAUUGACCAUCAAGGGGUCAAAUGAUAUAAUGGUUUGAAAUAAGGAUGUACAACAGUUAUGAUGGAUGCAUGCGUGAGUGACUGAUCAAAGUAGGACACAUUAGUGGUUGCCACUGAGCCACAUGUUGCUCAUCAGGGGACGUGUGGAGGGAGUAUUUAAUGGAACUCCCUUCAGAGUUUAUUCAUUUUUCCUCUUCUUUCUCUCUCUACUUCCCAACCCUUUAUACUCUCCCUACCUUUCUACCCUCUCUCUCUACUAUCCACCCUUCUGACCACCACUUAAACCACAAAUGGCUGCACCGGAUUUCCAAAACCUCCGUACCAACCACAACCUUCAUACCACAUUCAUCGAGUUCAUAUGAACACGAUGAACCCUAACCCUAGGCUUAACCAAAACCCAUAACAAACUAUGAACCAUAGGCAAACACAUGAGCCCUAACUUAAAAAAUAAAGAAUCCUAACCCUUUCUAACAUGAACCCUAAGAACCAUAUCCCCAUCUUCAUCUUCUACCUCCGUCCAAACCCUAGGUUUUCCUAGAAAUUCCCUAACCAUAUCUUAAACCGUCAAAAUAAAAACUAGUCCAUAGAUCCAACCUUUGUAAACACCAAUCCCUAUUCUAAAACGCGAAAUUAAACAACCAUCUUUGAAACCAUAAAACCCAAAUACCCAUUAUGUCUGACCCUAAAUCGAACCCAAUUCAACUCAAACAUUCAUAAAUCACAUCACAAUCACAAAUCAAACAACAAAAAUAUAAAAGGAACCCAAAACCCUGAAUCAAACAAAUCAAACUCAAAGACGUUUCAACACAUGCAAGGCAACAAACUAAGGUUUCAACAAUGUAAAGAAUUAACCAACCUACAUGAGUGUGAUUUCCCCCGAUGCGAAGUUAAAUUUUUUCCUCUUCUUUUACUUCAUUCUUUUAACUGUUGCUCUCUCUUUCACUCUUUAUCCGUCUCACUCUUUCUGAUUUUGCUUUAUGCGAGGUAACACUGGAAUGUGGAAGGCUUCAAGAGGCUGAGGCUGGAGAACCUUUUUUGGGGUUUAGCAUUGUUGUUCUUCAGUGUGAAGAACAACAAGUUUAAGUUAUGAAUUUAUAGACCGUGGCCCUGUUGUAAAACUUAGGGUUUUGCUUUUAUAAUGUAAAAAAUAAGUCAAGGUUAAUUAGAUUUGUUCUACUUUUGGAAGUUUUAGAUUUGAUUUGUUUAGUUUUGAAAUAUUCAAAUUGUAACAAAAAUCUAAAUAAUGAAAAUAUAUUUUCUUUUGUUUUAGCAUUCUUUGAUCCAUUU
rnacentral:lncRNA from 1 species